ACUUCAGCAUCUACUGUUAACAUUCAGAAGACAGGCAGGGGACAGUAUGUUCCUGUUGGAGUUGAGUGAGGGGCCGCUGUCUCUGACCCAGCGCGCCAAGACUCUGCUGCUUUAGAGAGCAGAAGCACUGUGGAAAGUGUGCACCACUGGCCUGCUCCGACAUGCACUCACACACAGCCUGCCGCACAUGCACACAAGAACUCAGGAAACCCCUGGCCACUCUAGCUGGAGCAUACCACGAUGUGACAGGGGUGCAUUUGGACACCGUGUGGCAGCAAGGGGUGCAGCUGUGGACCAGAGAGUUGAUGGACCUUUUGCUUACAAUACUUCACGAUCCUCACCUGAGGGCGCCGUCGCUGACCGCAUUGCAAGUUGUGAUCUUUGCAAUGGAAAUGGUGAGCCAGCAGACCUUUCAGUGGAUGGAGGCCGAUCGGCUGCCAUGCUAGUGGGUCAGAAGACAACUUGCACUAAUGAACAAGACCUCUAA
ensembl:lncRNA